rnacentral:rRNA from 1 species
AUGGCCCACAUAUCAGAUAUUAAACUGAUAAGAACAGAUACUACACUUGAUCUUAGCCAAAAGGCCGAGAAAGGUAUGCUUUGGAACGCUGGCCUGGGUCUCCUCUUAUAG